rnacentral:lncRNA from 1 species
GUGAUGCAAUUCUUGAAGAGAAUAGCUGGUUUGCUGGGCUUUGUUAAAAAAGAAGUGAAAACCAAAGGUAGAAUCAACAAAUUAUGAUGCGAUUUUAGAGUGAUUUGUUUGCUGCAUCAUGUAAAAUUCAAUCUAAAAUAAAUUGUGGUGCAAUUUCAAGCCUCGGUUCAAAGCAAAAAUCAGUAAAAAGCAUUUAAAAGCAAGAAUAACCUGACGAGCAAAUCGGUAAGACGGCCAAAAUCAAUAGAGAAAACUAGUAAACCGACAAAAAUCAGUCGCAAAAAUCAAUGGUGGAAAACUAGUGGAUGGCGAAAAUUCAGCAAAUUGAUAGAAAAUUAGUGGCCGACAGCAGUGCAGCAACGAAGUAGCAUCUGGUAGAUCGUGAGAGAGAGAGAGGGAGGGGGGGGGAGUAGAGGUUGGACUGAGAGAGAGGCCGGACUCUGAAGGCAGCGGCAAGACCAAGUAAACAACGAGAGAGAUGGCGUGAGUGAGAGACAGGGAGGCAGCAGAGGUAGACUUAGGGUUUGAAAAUUGAAAUUGAGUGUAGACGGUAGACUUGUAGAGAUUAUGUUUUGUUGUUGAAAUGCACGGCUUGGAUUCAAUGGUUGAAAUUAACCUUGAUCCAAUAGUAG